CCUACGGGGGGCAGCAGUGGGGAAUAUUGGGCAAUGGAGGCAACGCUGACCCAGCAACGCCGCGUGAAUGAUGAAGGUCUUCGGAUUGUAAAGUUCUUUUCUAAGGGAAGAAGAAAGUGACGGUACCUUAGGAAUAAGCCUCGGCUAACUACGUGCCAGCAGCCGCGGUAAUACGUAGGAGGCAAGCGUUAUCCGGAAGGACUGGGCGUAAAGGGUGCGUAGGUUGUUCAGCAAGUUAGUAGCGUAACUCCGGGGCUCAACCUCGGCACUACUACUAAAACUGUUGGACUUGAGUGCAGGAGGGGCAACUGGAAUUCCUAGUGUAGCGGUGGAAUGCGUAGAUAUUGGGAGGAACACCAGCGGCGAAGGCGGGUUGCUGGACUUUAACUGACACUGAGGAACGAAAGCGUGGGGAGCAAACAGGAUUAGAUACCCUAGUAGUC
rnacentral:rRNA from 1 species